CCUACGGGUGGCUGCAGUGAGGAAUAUUGGUCAAUGGGCGCGAGCCUGAACCAGCCAAGUCGCGUGAGGGAGGACGGCCCUACGGGUUGUAAACCUCUUUUGCCGGGGAGCAACGGGCGUCACGUGUGGCGCCCCUGAGAGUACCCGGAGAAAAAGCAUCGGCUAACUCCGUGCCAGCGGCCGCGGUAAUACGGGGGAUGCGAGCGUUAUCCGGAUUUAUUGGGUUUAAGGGGUGCGUAGGCGGAUGGUUAAGUCAGUGGUAAAAUUGAGGGGCUCAACCCCUUCUCGCCAUUGAAACUGGCGCUCUUGAGUGGAAGAGAAGUAUGCGGAAUGCGUGGUGUAGCGGUGAAAUGCAUAGAUAUCACGCAGAACCCCGAUUGCGAAGGCAGCAUGCCGGCUUCCGACUGACGCUGAAGCACGAAAGCGUGGGGAUCGAACAGGAUUAGAUACCUUAGUAGUC
rnacentral:rRNA from 1 species